rnacentral:rRNA from 1 species
GAUCAAGCGACUAAGUGCAUACGGUGGAUGCCUUGGCGACUACAGGCGAUGAAGGACGUUGUAGCCUGCGAUAAGCUGCGGUGAGCUGGCAAACAAGCUUUGACCCGCAGAUUUCCGAAUGGGGAAACCCACCCGUAAGGGUAUCUCUGACUGAAUACAUAGGUCAUUGAAGCGAACCGGGCGAACUGAAACAUCUCAGUAGCUCGAGGAAAAGAAAUCAACCGAGAUUCCGAUAGUAGUGGCGAGCGAAAUCGGAGCAGCCUGCAUAAUUUAGCAUUUGGUAUAGCAAAACGACAUGGAAAGGUCGGCCACAGAAGGUGAUAGCCCUGUAUGUAAAAUGCCUUAUGUGGAACUAAGUAUGCGACAAGUAGGGCGGGACACGUGUAAUCCUGUCUGAACAUGGGGGGACCAUCCUCCAAGGCUAAAUACUCGUAGUCGACCGAUAGUGAACAAGUACCGUGAGGGAAAGGUGAAAAGAACCCCGGGAGGGGAGUGAAAUAGAUCCUGAAACCGUAUGCAUACAAAAAGUCGGAGCCCUACGGGGUGACGGCGUACCUUUUGUAUAAUGGGUCAGCGACUUACAUUCAGUGGCAAGCUUAACCGAAUAGGGAAGGCGCAGGGAAACCGAGUCCGAAUAGGGCGUCUAGUCGCUGGGUGUAGACCCGAAACCGGAUGAUCUAUCCAUGGCCAGGAUGAAGGUGCGGUAACACGUACUGGAGGUCCGAACCGACUAGUGUUGCAAAACUAGCGGAUGAGCUGUGGAUAGGGGUGAAAGGCUAAACAAAUCCGGAAAUAGCUGGUUCUCCUCGAAAACUAUUUAGGUAGUGCCUCGCGUAUCACCGCCAGGGGUAGAGCACUGUUUUGGCUAGGGGGUCAUGACGACUUACCAAACCAAUGCAAACUCCGAAUACUGGUGAGUGCAGCGCGGGAGACAGUGCACCGGGUGCUAACGUCCGGACACAAGAGGGAAACAACCCAGACCGCCAGCUAAGGUCCCUAAAUAUGGCUAAGUGGGAAACGAAGUGGGAAGGCAUUGACAGUCAGGAGGUUGGCUUAGAAGCAGCCACCCUUUAAAGAAAGCGUAAUAGCUCACUGAUCGAGUCGUCCUGCGCGGAAGAUGUAACGGGGCUAAGCUAUAUACCGAAGCUGCGGAUGUGCGUAAGCACAUGGUAGAGGAGCGUUCUGUAAGCCUGUGAAGGUGUGCUGAGAGGCAUGCUGGAGGUAUCAGAAGUGCGAAUGCUGACAUGAGUAGCGUUAAAAGAGGUGAAAAGCCUCUUCGCCGAAAGCGCAAGGUUUCCUACGCAACGUUCAUCGGCGUAGGGUGAGUCGGCCCCUAAGGCGAGGCAGAGAUGCGUAGUCGAUGGGAAACAGGUCAAUAUUCCUGUACCGAUGUCUAGUGCGAUGUGGGGACGGAGAAGGUUAAAUCAGCCGGGUGUUGGAUGUCCCGGUUCAAGUGUGUAGGCGUGCCCCUUAGGCAAAUCCGGGGGGCUUAGCUGAGGCAUGAUAACGAGGCAGCUUGCUGCUGAAGUGAUUGAUACCCUGCUUCCAAGAAAAGCCACUAAGCUUCAGCUAGACGCGACCGUACCGCAAACCGACACUGGUGCGCGAGAUGAGUAUUCUAAGGCGCUUGAGAGAACUCGGGAGAAGGAACUCGGCAAAUUUGUACCGUAACUUCGGGAUAAGGUACGCCUCUGGUAUGUGACGCUGUACAGGCUGAGCAGAAAGGGGCCGCAGUGAAAAGGUGGCUGCGACUGUUUAUUAAAAACACAGCACUCUGCAAACACGAAAGUGGACGUAUAGGGUGUGACGCCUGCCCGGUGCCGGAAGGUUAAGUGAUGGGGUGCAAGCUCUUGAUCGAA